rnacentral:lncRNA from 1 species
GGUGUUACAAAGGGGUGUUACAAUAACUCAUACUUAACCUUUGGUAAAAUUUCUUCUUAAUCCUCCCUCCCUUUCUACGACUAUUAUGUGCCUCCUAACUUUUUAUUUUUCCUACUUUGGCCACAAUAGUUUUCUAUACUCUUUCAAUUAAGUUAAUACUUCUAUUUAAGUUUUUCCUAUCUAAGGAAUAUUUACUAAUUUUUUAUCAGGUUUAAAUAUUUUCUAAUUUAAUACUUAAAAUUUCUAUUUGUUUUAUUCC